GAAAAAUAGAAACCUUGAUUACAAGAGGACCUGGUGUGCUAACAUAAAGGAAGAUCAAAAUGCGGAAGACCAUGCUGUGAAAUAGAGAGGGGAAAGCUACCUGGGACAUUAUGCGGAUGGUAAAAGAAGGAGGGGUAGCACAGCCCAGUGAAGACAGCAAAGGACAGAAUGACAGUUACUGGACACCUGGAUCAAAGGAGUAAAGGGAUAUGACUGCUUGACUGAUAAACACAAAAUAGCUGGAAAAAUUACUUCUCAUUGUAAUUAGGUGAAUAUGGAAUAAUCCUGGCAGUAAAAAUGAGAUUUAGACAAAAGUUAUCAGGAAGAUAAUUUGGUUCACAACAUUUUGGAGAAGUACUUAAUACUCUUGAAGAGGAAAAUAAGAGCAUAACAGAGUUGAAUUGCAAAAUGCCACGUUGCUAUGCCUUGACAGUCACUCAGAAGAGUUAUCACUUGGCACACAUUCCAGCUUGCUACAAGGUCUCUGUGUGUUGGAGUAACUACUGAAGAUGGAGAAAGUUUUUUCCCAUUCUUCCCAUGGAGAUUGAGGUUCAGCUUUCCUUUCAUGAAGAGU
rnacentral:lncRNA from 1 species